AUAAGCGGAGGAAAAGAAACUAACAAGGAUUCCCCUAGUAACGGCGAGUGAAGUGGGAAAAGCUCAACUUUGAAAUCUGGCACCUUCGGUGUCCGAGUUGUAGUCUCAAGAAGUGUUUUCUGUGCUGGUCCAUGUAUGAGUCUGUUGGAACACAGCGUCAUAGAGGGUGACAACCCCGUUCAUGACAUGGAUACCAGUGCUUUGUGAUACACUCUCGAAGAGUCGAGUUGUUUGGGAAUGCAGCUCAAAUUGGGUGGUAAAUUCCAUCUAAAGCUAAAUAUUGGCGAGAGACCGAUAGCAAACAAGUACCGUGAGGGAAAGAUGAAAAGCACUUUGGAAAGAGAGUUAACAGUACGUGAAAUUGUUGAAAGGGAAACGAUUGAAGUCAGACGUGCGUGAUGCGGUUCAGCACUGGUUCGCCAGUGUGUAUUCCGUAUCUUUGCAGGCCAACAUCAGUUUCGGUAGUCGGAUAAAGGUUAGUUGAAUGUGGCACCCUCGGGUGUGUUAUAGCUUCUGACUGAAUACGAUUUCUGGGACUGAGGAACGCAGCGCGCCGCAAGGCAUGUGGUUCCGACCUUUUCGCGCUUAGGAUU
rnacentral:rRNA from 1 species